UACGGGGGGGGCAAGCGUUGUUCGGAAUUACUGGGCGUAAAGGGUUCGUAGGUGGCCAAUUAAGUCAGACGUGAAAUCCCUCAGCUCAACUGGGGAACUGCGUCUGAGACUGGAUGGCUUGAGUGCAGGAGAGGAACGCGGAAUUCCAGGUGUAGCGGUGAAAUGCGUAGAUAUCGGGAAGAACACCCGUGGCGAAGGCGGCUCUCUGGGACGGUACUGACGCUGAGACGCGAAAGCGUGGGGAGCGAACAGG
rnacentral:rRNA from 1 species